rnacentral:rRNA from 1 species
AGCGAACGCUGGCGGCAGGCCUAACACAUGCAAGUCGAACGGCAUCUUCGGAGUUAGUGGCGGACGGGUGUGUCACGCGUGGGACCGUGCCUUUAGGUUCGGAAUACCACAGGGAAACUUGUGAUAAUACCGAAAGUGUCCUUCGGGGAAAAGAUUUAUCGCCUUUGGAGCGGCCCGCGUUCGUUUAGCUUGGUGGUGAGGUAAAGGCCGACGACGGAGACGAUCAGUAGCUGGGCUGAGAGGAUGAUCAGCCACAUUGGGACUGUGACACGGCCCGAACUCCUACGGGAGGCAGCAGUGGGGAAUCUAGCGCAAUGGGCGAAAGCCUGACGCAGCCAUGCUGCGUGAAUGAUGAAGGUCUUAGGAUUGUAAAAUUCUUUCACCGGGGACGAUAAUGACGGUACCCGGAGAAGAAGCCCCGGCUAACUUCGUG